rnacentral:rRNA from 1 species
AUGAUUGAUGAUCUCAUAGAAAAGAUUGUGAAGGAUAAGAGCACUGAUGAUGACUUUAUUCGGAUGACAUUUCUAGUUCUCUUAGGAACUAUAAUUGCACCGGUGUCUCAUGAAUACGUUCCGAAAAAGUACUAUGCCUUAGUGAAAAAUAUUAAGUUGAUAAGGAAGUUCAACUGGAAUGCAUUCACUUCACGAUUCUGUUUAUCGGAGAUUGGUAAGCUUCUGCAGGACGGCCAUGUUAGGCAGUGGCCCCAGGGGAACCUCGCCCUUUUGCAAUACCUAUACUGGGAGAAGGUGCAACCAAUCACCGGUCCAAAAUAUGAUCCGUUGGCAUUGUUGAGCCCGCUGAUGAGGAACUGGACGGAAGAUAUGGCUGUGAGAAGAGACAAAUACGACUACGAAUAUGGUCGUGGUGUUGGGAUGAUUGAUGACAACAUUACAGAGGAGUAUAGGUUGAAAAAAAUUGCGGAAGAAGAAGCUCAAAAAACCAAGAAAGCUAGUAGCAAAAAAUCUAACAUUACUGGAACGAGGAAAGAGGGCAGUACCUCGGAGGCUUCGAGCCAGAAGCCUACUAUGGACCGGAUUUUGAGUGAGAUGAAUGAGCUUCGGAAGGAAAUGCUUCGUUUGCCAGAGUUAUGCGCACAGAGGAUGAUUGAGAAACUGAACAAAACCGGCGUCUCCUACAAACCCAGUAACCUGGAAGAGGACGAAGAGAAUCUGUACGGAGGCAUUAAUGAGUCUUCAAACGAUGUUGGACGUCCGCAAAAAGAGUUUGUAUAUCAAAAAGAUGAUUCAGACCGGUUCCGCACACCUUCCAAAAUGAAUUUGCAAAAGGAUGAUAACGGCGUUGAUGUAACUUCUCGUGAAAACACACCUUUUUACUGCACAUCUGAGUACUGGGAUAGUUUCAAGGGUGAUAUGGAUGAUCCUGUCCAAGUACCAGAAGUAUCAGAUGAAAAAGCUGCCACAUCUUUAGAGACGGACGAAAUCGCAUCGCAUGCGUCAGUUGGUUCUCAAGGAGUACAAGAGGAAGUGGAGGAGGUAAUUGAUGCAUACUCAUCAUUUUUGGUCGACAAAGUUAAUGAUGAUCGUUUCAUGUUAACAACUUGGAGGAUACAUUGGUUGCUUCACGUUAGACCCGGAAAGAAGACCGCCGGUAAUGAUUAUGAAGCAGAGUCGCAUAGUAAUGGACCCGUGAACAGAUGUGAGGACGAGUAUUUCAAAAAAUCAAAGAGAAAACAACUAGCAGAAGAUAUCCAAGAAGCAAAUGCAACCGAAAUUGUGAAUUAUCCGGAUGUUUCCAAGUGGCCUAUUCAAACGUAUGACAUGCCAAAACAACAUGAUGGGAAUUCGUGUGGACUAUUUCUCCUUCGAUGCUUUCAAAAUUGGGAUGGUGACAAAUGGACAGGCUUAUUUUCACAGACCUCAAUUGAUGAUUCAAGAGAGUUAAUGAUUGCACAACUUAUAUUUUCGGAAAGAAACAAGCUUGAUGAAGUGAAAAACAAAGUUAUUCGGAUAUCAAAGAAGAAGAAAUAG